GAUGAACGCUGGCGGCGUGCCUAAUACAUGCAAGUCGAGCGAACAGACGAGGAGCUUGCUCCUCUGACGUUAGCGGCGGACGGGUGAGUAACACGUGGAUAACCUACCUAUAAGACUGGGAUAACUUCGGGAAACCGGAGCUAAUACCGGAUAACAUGUUGAACCGCAUGGUUCAACAGUGAAAGACGGUCUUGCUGUCACUUAUAGAUGGAUCCGCGCCGCAUUAGCUAGUUGGUAAGGUAACGGCUUACCAAGGCAACGAUGCGUAGCCGACCUGAGAGGGUGAUCGGCCACACUGGAACUGAGACACGGUCCAGACUCCUACGGGAGGCAGCAGUAGGGAAUCUUCCGCAAUGGGCGAAAGCCUGACGGAGCAACGCCGCCUGAGUGAAGAAGGUCUUCGGAUCGUAAAACUCUGUUAUUAGGGAAGAACAAAUGUGUAAGUAACUAUGCACGUCUUGACGGUACCUAAUCAGAAAGCCACGGCUAACUACGUG
rnacentral:rRNA from 1 species